rnacentral:tRNA from 1 species
GGAAGUGUGGCCGAGCGGUUGAAGGCACCGGUCUUGAAAACCGGCGACCCGAAAGGGUUCUAGAGUUCGAAUCUCUACACUUCCGCCA